GCCCAAAAUGAGAAUGGUUGGAGGUUAUUCCAUUUUCCUCCCUCAACUUCAGUUUGUUACAAUAAAAUCACUUUAAUUUGAGUUUCCAAAAAGUCACUCUAACCAGAUUCAGCUGGUUUUCUGUCUACCAUAAAUUCAAUUUUCACCCCCAGUCCCUCAACUUCAAGGAUUAUUUCAACUUCAUCCCUCAACUUCAAUUUGUAUGACUCAAUUUUGAUUUGAGCAAAUGAUAAUAUUUUAUAAUUUCAAGUUUGUGAGUUUUGUAAGACUAGUUUUU
rnacentral:misc_RNA from 1 species